rnacentral:rRNA from 1 species
GGUAGUAAUAAACAAUAAAACCAAUGAAACUUGGCGGUUAUAAAAAAUUAAAGAAACUCGUUUUUUAAUCGACAACCCCCGCUAAUUUUAACUUAAAUUAAAAACCUAUAUACCGCCGUUUCAGGCCUAAAAUAAAACAAACCCUAACACAAAACACCCCUAAAAUCAGGUCAAGGUGUAGUCUAUUCUUAAGAAAAAAUAAGUUACACAUAAAAAAAAUUUAAAAAACUAUGGUUAAAAUUCCCUAAAAAAAUAGAAUUUAAAAACAAAUAAUAAUUAAAAUCUAUAAUUGAAACCAACCUUUAUAACGC